rnacentral:lncRNA from 1 species
AUGGGCACCGCCAGCCCCACAGCUCAGCCCCACGGCUCAGCCCCACGGCUCAGCCCCACAGCUCAGCCCCACAGCUCAGCCCCACAGCUCAGCCCCACGGCUCAGCCCCACGGCUCAGCCCCACGGCUCAGCCCCAUAGCUCAGCCCCACACCACGGGGACCCCCGGCGGUCCCACACCCUGGGUAGCACCGAUACCGUCCCGUGAAGCACCGGCCCCAGCGCCGGCCUCACAACCCGAGGACCCUGCGGGACCGACACAGCAACGAGGUGUGGCCGCUCUGCACCCCCCGACCCCACACACAGCGCCCCAAGCCCCGAUCCGGAUCCCACCCGUUCCCGGCCGCUCAUCCCGGUGGUCCCGGUUGGAGCCGUGCCCGACGGCUCCGCUCACCUGGAGCCUGGAGGGGUCCUCCCGGGGGGGCCGCGGGCAGGAGCGGAGGGAGGAGGAAGAGGAGGGUGAUGAAGAGCGGGCAGAGCCCACAGCGCAGCUCCCGCAUGGCCCCAGCGCCGCCGCCGCUCCGGUCUCCGCCCGCCGCAAAGCGCCCCUCCAGGUGAGGCGGCGGCCGCGCAGGUACCGCCCCGCCCGGCCCGGCCCCCCCCGCACCCCUCCCGGUGCCCCGGACCCCCCCCCCCCCCCCCGCAGGUACCGCCCCGCCCGGCCCGGCCCCCCCCCCGCACCCCUCCCGGUGCCCCGGGCCCCCCCCUCCCCCAGGCACCGCCCGGCCCGGCCCCCCCCCAGGCACCGCCCCGGUAUCCGCCGAGCGCUCCCGUUACCUCCCGGUACCGGAGCCGCUGCGGCCGCUGCCUCCGCGGGUGCCCCCGGCCCCGGUGCGGCCCCGGCCGCAGCUCCUGCGGACCCCCCUCGGGUCCGUGCGGAGGGAUCAGGUCCUCACCCCACAGCUGCGGGGGUCCCGUCGGGGCUGUGCUGCAGAGCUGCCCCCUCCCCUCACCUCCGGGGACCCGAGCACCGCCUGGGGUCGGCUCCGGGGGUUCGGAGGGGUCCUCAGCACCCUGCGGGGGGGUCAGAGCCUCGGUGCCCGUGGGUCCCCCGAGUGACGAUGUGUGUGCCCCGGCCAUGCCCAGUGUCCUGUGCUGCCCAUGGGCAGUGCCCACGGGUCCCCGGGCUCCAUCAAUGUCCAGCCUGGAGCAGCACCGGGUGCGCUGUGCCCCCCAUGGGUCCCUCCUGGCCCCUUCAUGCCUGGCAGGAGCCCACGGUCUCCAUCAUGUGCUGCCUCCGUUUCCCAGCAGGACUCGGCCAAGGUCGUGGCCGCGGGCAGGGAAUUCCCGAUCCAGCUCCGCUGCAGCCAUGA